rnacentral:rRNA from 1 species
AUUGAACGCUAGCGGGAUGCUUUACACAUGCAAGUCGAACGGCAGCGCGGACUUCGGUCUGGCGGCGAGUGGCGAACGGGUGAGUAAUGUAUCGGAACGUGCCCAGUAGCGGGGGAUAACUACGCGAAAGCGUAGCUAAUACCGCGUACGCCCUACGGGGGAAAGCAGGGGAUCGUAAGACCUUGCACUAUUGGAGCGGCCGAUAUCGGAUUAGCUAGUUGGUGAAGUAACGGCUCACCAAGGCGACGAUCCGUAGCUGGUUUGAGAGGACGACCAGCCACACUGGGACUGAGACACGGCCCAGACUCCUACGGGAGGCAGCAGUGGGGAAUUUUGGACAAUGGGGGCAACCCUGAUCCAGCCAUCCCGCGUGUGCGAUGAAGGCCUUCGGGUUGUAAAGCACUUUUGGCAGGAAAGAAACGUCGCGGGCUAAUACCCCGUGGAACUGACGGUACCUGCAGAAUAAGCACCGGCUAACUACGUG